AUUUGAUGGUGGUGUACUAGAUGAAUUAGUGUGGGAGCAGAGACCAAGUUUGUUUUGUUUUGUUUUAUUUAUUUAUUUAUUUAUUUAUUGUAAUAUUGAAAUGAUUAAUGAAUACUUGAUCUAAGUUGUUUGCAUAGGGAUUUGCUGCAGCCCGGCUGGCUGGGCAAAAUAGCCGGGGGGUGACGAAGAACUUGUGUAGAUUGAUACAGCAGGAGUAGGAGCCGUUUAUUGCAGGACAGGAGCAGUAUUUAUACAUUCCACACAGCUUAUCUAAUUAGCAUAAACUAGAUACAUCAGUCAACCAAUAAGGAAUCUCCACACUUAAUGGCUCCCUGGUGUUACUUCACAAACCACUCCCUCUGGCAUUUUGCCAGGCACCAUCCAGACUUGUUUACAGACUCUAACAUUUCUCUGGCAAAAUGCCAGGAGCCAUCCUGACCUGUUUACAGACUCUAACAGGGAUUGGUGAACCAGGUUGUUGUAGAGAGUUUUGACUCUGAUUGCCUAGGGUGUCUUCAGCAAACACGAGAUGUUUAUAUAGGGAGAACUGAUUGAGUUUCCUUUUCUACCUUUAUCUUUCACACAUUCAUAGAAAGCCUAGUGUGUAUCAGGUGCUUUAAAAAAUUAUCCUUUAAACUUUUGGUAAUACAUCAGAGAUUAAUAUCCAACUGGAAAUUUAAGAUUGGAGAUUGGGAGAAGAGAUGAGGCGGAAAUUGUAUAUUUUCAACUAAUUUUUUUUUUUAAUUUUUAUUUUUUUCAAUGCAGGGGAUCAAACACAAGGUUGUGGCAAGCAUUCUAUCACUGAACUUACCCCUGGCUUCAAUAUUUAUUCUUGUGUUAGUAAUAUCAAUGAUGUUGAUUCUCAGGAAAGAGUAGAGAGAAAUAGAAAAGACCACACCAAAAACAGAGCAUUGGGGCAGCCUGUGUUUUGGUAUGAAAGGAAAAGGAGUCAUAAAUGGAAAAACCAUAACAUAUGAUGUCCUGAGGGAAGUAACUGUUUCGAGAAAAGUGAUAAUUCUUAAUGUCAUGAAGACUUCAAAGAAGGAAAAACUGGGGAGAAACAUUCAGUUUGGAAAGUUUCAUUAGGGAAAGGUUUGCAAAUUAACAUCUCCAGCUUCAUUUAAAAGGGAUUAAGAUGUAGGAUAUUGAGAAGUGAAUACCAGAAUAUAUAUAUUACUUUUAAGAAAUAGUUGGUAAAAGGAAGGAGAAGACUGUAACAAUAUUCGAAGAUAUUGAGGUAGAAAGAAUACUUGUUUGACUUCAGUCUGAGUUGCUUAGGGCCUCUGUCUCCCAAGCCACUGGGAUUACAGGCAUGCGCCUCUGCGCUGGGCUUGACUUCA
rnacentral:lncRNA from 1 species